UACGUAGGGACCAAGCGUUGUUCGGAUUUACUGGGCGUAAAGGGCGCGUAGGCGGCGCGGUAAGUCACUUGUGAAAUCUCUGAGCUUAACUCAGAACGGCCAAGUGAUACUGCAGUGCUAGAGUGUGGAAGGGGCAAUCGGAAUCCUUGGUGUAGCGGUGAAAUGCGUAGAUAUCAAGAGGAACACCGGAGGUGAAGACGGGUUGCUGGGCCAACACUGACGCUGAGGCGCGAAAGCCAGGGGAGCAAACGGG
rnacentral:rRNA from 1 species